UACGUAGGUGGCAAGCGUUGUCCGGAAUUACUGGGCGUAAAGGGCGCGUAGGCGGUCUUGUAAGUCUUGUGUGAAAUCCCUCGGCUUAACUGAGGAACUGCACGAGAUACUGCGAGACUUGAGUUCGGGAGAGGAAAGCGGAAUUCCGGGUGUAGCGGUGAAAUGCGUAGAUAUCCGGAGGAACACCGGUGGCGAAGGCGGCUUUCUGGACCGACACUGACGCUGAGGCGCGAAAGCUAGGGGAGCAAACGGG
rnacentral:rRNA from 1 species